rnacentral:rRNA from 1 species
AUUGAACGCUGGCGGCAUGCUUUACACAUGCGAGUCGAACGGUAACAGGCCGCAAGGUGCUGACGAGUGGCGAACGGGUGAGUAAUGCAUCGGAACGUGCCCAGUCGUGGGGGAUAACUACUCGAAAGAGUAGCUAAUACCGCAUACGAUCUAUGGAUGACAGCGGGGGACCGUAAGGCCUCGCGCGAUUGGAGCGGCCGAUGUCAGAUUAGGUAGUUGGUGGGGUAAAGGCUCACCAAGCCAACGAUCUGUAGCUGGUCUGAGAGGACGACCAGCCACACUGGGACUGAGACACGGCCCAGACUCCUACGGGAGGCAGCAGUGGGGAAUUUUGGACAAUGGGCGCAAGCCUGAUCCAGCAAUGCCGCGUGCAGGAAGAAGGCCUUCGGGUUGUAAACUGCUUUUGUACGGAACGAAACGGCUCUGGUUAAUACCCGGGGCUAAUGACGGUACCGUAAGAAUAAGCACCGGCUAACUACGUG